rnacentral:tRNA from 1 species
GGGGUUGUAGCUCAGUGGUAGAGCGCUUGCCUUGAACAUGCAAGUCUCUGGGUUCAAUCCUCAACACCA